CCUACGGGAGGCAGCAGUGAGGAAUAUUGGUCAAUGGACGAGAGUCUGAACCAGCCAAGUAGCGUGAAGGAUGACUGCCCUAUGGGUUGUAAACUUCUUUUAUAUGGGAGUAAAAUGUUCCACGUGUGGGAUUUUGUAUGUACCAUAUGAAUAAGGAUCGGCUAACUCCGUGCCAGCAGCCGCGGUAAUCCGGAGGAUCCGAGCGUUAUCCGGAUUUAUUGGGUUUAAAGGGAGCGUAGGUGGAUUGUUAAGUCAGUUGUGAAAGUUUGCGGCUCAACCGUAAAAUUGCAGUUGAAACUGGCAGUCUUGAGUACAGUAGAGGUGGGCGGAAUUCGUGGUGUAGCGGUGAAAUGCUUAGAUAUCACGAAGAACUCCGAUUGCGAAGGCAGUUCACUGGACUGCAACUGACACUGAGGCUCGAAAGUGUGGGUAUCAAACAGGAUUAGAUACCCUUGUAGUC
rnacentral:rRNA from 1 species